rnacentral:rRNA from 1 species
GACGAACGCUGGCGGCGUGCUUAACACAUGCAAGUCGAACGGAAAGGCCCUGCUUUUGUGGGGUGCUCGAGUGGCGAACGGGUGAGUAACACGUGAGUAACCUGCCCUUGACUUUGGGAUAACUUCAGGAAACUGGGGCUAAUACCGGAUAGGAGCUCCUGCUGCAUGGUGGGGGUUGGAAAGUUUCGGCGGUUGGGGAUGGACUCGCGGCUUAUCAGCUUGUUGGUGGGGUAGUGGCUUACCAAGGCUUUGACGGGUAGCCGGCGUGAGAGGGUGACCGGCCACAUUGGGACUGAGAUACGGCACAGAGUCGUACGGGAGGCAGCAGUGGGGAAGAUUGCACAAUGGGCGGAAGCCUGAUGCAGCAACGCCGCGUGCGGGAUGCCGGCCUUCGGGUUGUAAACCGCUUUCGCCUGUGACGAAGCGUGAGUGACGGUAAUGGGUAAAGAAGCACCGGCUAACUACGUG